rnacentral:rRNA from 1 species
GACGAACGCUGGCGGCGUGCCUAAUACAUGCAAGUCGAACGCUUCUUUCCUCCCGAGUGCUUGCACUCAAUUGGAAAGAGGAGUGGCGGACGGGUGAGUAACACGUGGGUAACCUACCCAUCAGAGGGGGAUAACACUUGGAAACAGGUGCUAAUACCGCAUAACAGUUUAUGCCGCAUGGCAUAAGAGUGAAAGGCGCUUUCGGGUGUCGCUGAUGGAUGGACCCGCGGUGCAUUAGCUAGUUGGUGAGGUAACGGCUCACCAAGGCCACGAUGCAUAGCCGACCUGAGAGGGUGAUCGGCCACACUGGGACUGAGACACGGCCCAGACUCCUACGGGAGGCAGCAGUAGGGAAUCUUCGGCAAUGGACGAAGGUCUGACCGAGCAACGCCGCGUGAGUGAAGAAGGUUUUCGGAUCGUAAAACUCUGUUGUUAGAGAAGAACAAGGACGUUAGUAACUGAACGUCCCCUGACGGUAUCUAACCAGAAAGACACGGCUAACUACGUG